rnacentral:lncRNA from 1 species
CAAUAGUUGAGCUGGUGAAGCUGAGGUUGUUCUGGUAGGCUAUGACUUCUCUAGAUGUUUUCUGACUUACUUCAGAACAUAAAGUAGAGGGUUGUAUUGCUGACUUCACUCCCUGUGUUUUGGGUCAGGAGAGAGCUCCUUGUUUCUGGAUGGCCUCAGGUUGAUGACCCCUUCUGCCAACUUCCAUGUGGUGCACAACCAAAACAAAGUACAGGGUGCAGAUGCGAGCUGUAUUUCAUGCCAUGACUUCAGUUGUCUGACUCUCACACUACAUCGUUUCUACAGAUAUUUAUUCACCUGUUCAUGUCUCCGAAGAAAGACAGCAUUUACAAGCAGCAAAGAACUCCUCCUGAAUUCUCCAAUGUGCUGCUGCAGACAGAGCUCACCUACAAAUGAGAUGCCAUCAUGUAAAAGAGGCUUUAUUAUCUCGUUUCUUUCAAACCUACUGUUACCUGCAUGGAGCUCUAUUUCUGAAUGACUUCAUUGCCAAGAAGCUAGAAUAUGAGAAAUGCAGCACCUGGUCAGAUGGUCUGCUCUUAUAGCUGGCAAGUCCUUCCAAGUGUCUAGCUGCUGAAGGCGUUUCAUCUCACUGUGUCAGUCAUGGCUCACAACAAAGCAGCAAAACUGGUAAACACUACAAGCAUGGUUUUUUUUGUUUGUUUGUCUUUGUUGUUAUUUGUUUGUUUGUUGUUUAGUCACACAAUGAUGGAUGGAGAUUUCAAAAGAAAUAGAAAAAAAAGCUGGAGAUGAAAAUGACCCCUUGGGAAUGGUGGUAAGAUACGUGUUCUUCUUUCCUAAGCAUUUCAUAAAUGUGGGCUGAGAUGGCAAGGUUGUCAUAGCUGGAUAUCACUGAGAUAUCCCAAGAACUAGUAAGCUUUAGCAGCACUGGGAGGACACCGUGGUGUUGGGGAUAAGGAAAAAGCCAUGAAGGCUUAGCUUGCUUCUGGUAUCCCAUGCACCCCUGCAUUUGCUAUCAAUGAAAUUUCCACUCAAAAUGGCCGACAGUCUUGUUUGAGAAAUUUAAAUUUAAAACAUAUGGAUAAUUAAUACUUUUUUCUAGUCUGUUCUUGAAUACCCAGUUAAUAUUUCAUCCUAUGUGAAACAGUCUCUAUAUGUUGAGCUAAGCAGGGAGCACAUUUUACAAUUUUCUAUGGUAGAAAGGGAAAAGGCAAAGACAUUCCAGGUAAUUCACAGGAAAUCUGAAAUACUUAGAUGAAUUAACAGUCCGAUUUAUAGUGUGGGCAAUGCCAGCCAUGUCUGGGUGUGUACGAUGCCAUUGAAGAUGGGAGUGAAAGAGGAGCACAAGAAAAGAAGGGGAAAAAAAGCUGCAGACUUAAAUUCAAGAUUUUUAUAAAUGGCCAUUACUCUACUGAUUUUACAGGCUGGUUUCACAAAGCCUGGAAUUCAGGCACUUCACUUGUCUUCAGACACUUCAUAGCGUCUUCUACACUGACUCAGAGGAGCUGGUACCACAAGACCUGUUGCAUAAAUACUUCACCUAUGUUUCUCCCACAGCAACAAAGAGCUGUGAGAGUGUUAUUAAUAAUGAGUCAGACCACUGAAUUCUCUGUAAGUGCUUUCAGGAUAGCAUAGCAAAUUUAUAAAUUCUUAACAUUUUCCAGCUAAUGGUCUUAUAGCAAGAAUACCUUCACAAAUUCCACUCAUGGAUAUUUGUAAACCUCACUUUUAAUGGCAAAUAUUAUUUUGGUUUUGUCAGUUGCAUUUGUAGAGAGGCUACAUUGUUGACAAGGUUUUUCUUAGUUAGUUGUUUUUUUCCUAGAGCGACCCUGUACAUUUUCAAAUGAACUCUUUCUUCAUAAUAAAAUAUGUCAAACUUCACUUUUGCA